GACGAACGCUGGCGGCGUGCCUAAUACAUGCAAGUAGAACGCUGAAGGAGGAGCUUGCUCUUCUGGAUGAGUUGCGAACGGGUGAGUAACGCGUAGGUAACCUGCCUGGUAGCGGGGGAUAACUAUUGGUAACGAUAGCUAAUACCGCAUAACAGUAGAUGUUGCAUGACAUUUACUUAAAAGGUGCAAUUGCAUCACUACCAGAUGGACCCGCGUUGUAUUAGCUAGUUGGUGGGGUAACGGCUCACCAAGGCGACGAUACAUAGCCGACCUGAGAGGGUGAUCGGCCACACUGGGACUGAGACACGGCCCAGACUCCUACGGGAGGCAGCAGUAGGGAAUCUUCGGCAAUGGACGGAAGUCUGACCGAGCAACGCCGCGUGAGUGAAGAAGGUUUUCGGAUCGUAAAGCUCUGUUGUAAGAGAAGAACGAGUGUGAGAGUGGAAAGUUCACACUGUGACGGUAUCUUACCAGAAAGGGACGGCUAACUACGUG
rnacentral:rRNA from 1 species